rnacentral:rRNA from 1 species
AACGAACGCUGGCGGCAGGCCUAACACAUGCAAGUCGAGCGAAGCCUUCGGGGUUAGCGGCGGACGGGUGAGUAACGCGUGGGAACGUGCCCUUUGGUACGGAAUAGCCCCAGGAAACUGGGAGUAAUACCGUAUGUGGUCGAGAGACGAAAGAUUUAUCGCCUAAGGAUCGGCCCGCGUUGGAUUAGGUAGUUGGUGGGGUAAUGGCCUACCAAGCCGACGAUCCAUAGCUGGUUUGAGAGGAUGAUCAGCCACACUGGGACUGAGACACGGCCCAGACUCCUACGGGAGGCAGCAGUGGGGAAUCUUAGACAAUGGGGGAAACCCUGAUCUAGCCAUGCCGCGUGAUCGAUGAAGGCCUUAGGGUUGUAAAGAUCUUUCAGUGGGGAAGAUAAUGACUGUACCCACAGAAGAAGCCCCGGCUAACUCCGUGCCAGCCGCCGCAGUAAUAC